GAAGGAGGGUGGGAAAUGAUAACGUGCCCAGUAACGCGCCCUCCCUGGCUCCUGACCACCCAACCCAGCCCCUGCCACAUUCACAGUAGUUAUAGAAGAUUCAGAAACGUCCAAGCCAAUGAUCCAGAACAGUCAAGAUUGGAAUGAUCCCCCUGCCACCCAUGUUGGCAACGCCUGACAACACCAUGAAUUCUAAAUUGGGGCCAUUAUUCCUCAAAAUCAGCCUCUUCUGUCAAGUUAACAAUUUUAUAGUUUCAUCUGUUACUGGUAAAGUUGGAGAAUAUAAAACAGAACAACUUGACAGAAGAGAACGUCACUCCUGGCCUUCUUUAUAAACAACACGUUAUUAGUACUGCAGUAAGAUCAGCACACACAUGGACUGUAACGUCUGUGCAAGUUACUAAAAAUCCUUGUACCGAUCCCGAUCUGCAAGUUAUACUCUAGUCACAUCCAAAGCUGCAUUUAGAAUUCUGCUGACUUUUCCUUAGUUCCCAGGCUGCAAUGCUUCACAUGCACAGAGCACGAACAGCUUUUUACUCAAUGCACUACAUCAGAAUACAGACUGCAGCAGAGCUGAGGGUGCAGCUUUAUUUGUGUCUACAGUUUAAAGGGGUACUCCGGUGGAAAACUAAUAUUAAUAUACAUACAUAUAUAAUAUAUAUACACACACACACAUAUUAUAUUAGGGAUCGACCGAUAUCAUUUUUUUAGGGCCGAUACCGAUAAUCGGUGGAGGUUAGGGCCGAUAGCCGAUAACUUAUACCGGAAUAUCGGUAUAAGUUAUCGGCUAUUUAUCCCCCCUCGACACCACUGCAGGUCAUUGAUUUAAAGUGGGCGCUUUAAAUCAAUGAUCUGCAGUGGCUUUUGCGGGGCCAUAGGCCGCAGCUGCCACCCGCUUCUCUCCCCUACCUGUCAGGGUGCUCCGGGCCAUCCAUCCUUUCUUCCUUCCUGUAGUGUCCGGGGGCAUUCCGGGAAGGAUGGCCCGGACCACCCCCAUUACGGGUAAGUUUAUUAUUUUUUUAUUGACUCGAGGGUGGGGGAGGGGCCCGACCGUUAUAGCGGUAUGGGCAAAAAUCCAUACCGGUAUACCGCCCAGCACUACAGUGGGGGGUGCGACGCUGUGGGUCGGGGGGGGGGGGGGGGGGGGCGGUCGCGGUGCGGUGGGGGCGGCAGGGCAUUAUCGGCUUAUCGGCAAGGUAAUUGCCGAUACCGAUAAUGCCCAAAAAUCGUGAUUAUCGGCCGAUAUUAUCGGCCAUACCGAUAAUCGGUCGAUCCCUAAUAUAUAUAUUAUAUAAAAUAUUAUUUUUUUUUUUAUUUU